rnacentral:rRNA from 1 species
UACGUAGGGGGCAAGCGUUGUCCGGAAUCAUUGGGCGUAAAGAGCGUGUAGGCGGCCUGGUAAGUCCGCUGUGAAAGUCCAGGGCUCAACCCUGGAAUGCCGGUGGAAACUGUCAGGCUCGAGUCCGGAAGAGGCGAGUGGAAUUCCUGGUGUAGCGGUGAAAUGCGCAGAUAUCAGGAGGAACACCAAUGGCGAAAGCAGCUCUCUGGGGCGGUACUGACGCUGAGACGCGAAAGCGUGGGGAGCGAACAGG